rnacentral:snoRNA from 1 species
UGGAAACGAUUAAGCUUAUUCGCGCUUCUGAUGAUGCUUCGUGCAAUGAAGCAAAUUAAUAUAUGGUUGAAUUUCUUGAAGUGAUCCA